rnacentral:rRNA from 1 species
UACGUAGGUGGCAAGCGUUGUCCGGAUUUACUGGGCGUAAAGAGCGCGCAGGCGGCCGCGCAAGUCGAGUGUGAAAGCCCCGAGCUUAACUUGGGAACUGCGCUCGAAACUACGUGGCUGGAGUGUGGCAGAGGAAGGUGGAAUUCCAGGUGUAGCGGUGAAAUGCGUAGAGAUCUGGAGGAACACCGAUGGCGAAGGCAGCCUUCUGGGCCAACACUGACGCUCAUGCACGAAAGCGUGGGGAGCAAACAGG